rnacentral:rRNA from 1 species
GACGAACGCUGGCGGCGUGCUUAACACAUGCAAGUCGAUCGGUGACGACCAGCUUGCUGGUCUGAUCAGUGGCGAACGGGUGAGUAACACGUGAGCAACCUGCCCCUUACUCUGGGAUAAGCCUUGGAAACGAGGUCUAAUACCGGAUACGACACCCCUGGGCAUCCGGAGGGUGUGGAAAGUUUUUCGGUGAGGGAUGGGCUCGCGGCCUAUCAGCUUGUUGGUGGGGUAAUGGCCUACCAAGGCGACGACGGGUAGCCGGCCUGAGAGGGCGACCGGCCACACUGGGACUGAGACACGGCCCAGACUCCUACGGGAGGCAGCAGUGGGGAAUAUUGCACAAUGGGCGAAAGCCUGAUGCAGCGACGCCGCGUGAGGGAUGACGGCCUUCGGGUUGUAAACCUCUUUCAGCAGGGAAGAAGCGAAAGUGACGGUACCUGCAGAAGAAGCGCCGGCUAACUACGUGCCAGCAGCCGCGGUAAUACGUAGGGCGCAAGCGUUGUCCGGAAUUAUUGGGCGUAAAGAGCUCGUAGGCGGUUUGUCGCGUCUGCUGUGAAAACUCGAGGCUCAACCUCGGGCUUGCAGUGGGUACGGGCAGACUAGAGUGCGGUAGGGGUGACUGGAAUUCCUGGUGUAGCGGUGGAAUGCGCAGAUAUCAGGAGGAACACCGAUGGCGAAGGCAGGUCACUGGGCCGCAACUGACGCUGAGGAGCGAAAGCAUGGGGAGCGAACAGGAUUAGAUACCCUGGUAGUCCAUGCCGUAAACGUUGGGCACUAGGUGUGGGGCUCAUUCCACGAGUUCCGUGCCGCAGCAAACGCAUUAAGUGCCCCGCCUGGGGAGUACGGCCGCAAGGCUAAAACUCAAAGAAAUUGACGGGGGCCCGCACAAGCGGCGGAGCAUGCGGAUUAAUUCGAUGCAACGCGAAGAACCUUACCAAGGCUUGACAUACACCGGAAACUUCCAGAGAUGGUUGCCCGCAAGGUCGGUGUACAGGUGGUGCAUGGUUGUCGUCAGCUCGUGUCGUGAGAUGUUGGGUUAAGUCCCGCAACGAGCGCAACCCUCGUCCUAUGUUGCCAGCGGGUCAUGCCGGGGACUCAUAGGGGACUGCCGGGGUCAACUCGGAGGAAGGUGGGGAUGACGUCAAAUCAUCAUGCCCCUUAUGUCUUGGGCUUCACGCAUGCUACAAUGGCCGGUACAAAGGGCUGCGAUACCGCGAGGUGGAGCGAAUCCCAAAAAGCCGGUCUCAGUUCGGAUUGGGGUCUGCAACUCGACCCCAUGAAGUCGGAGUCGCUAGUAAUCGCAGAUCAGCAACACUGCGGUGAAUACGUUCCCGGGCCU